GAGCAGUGAUUACAUUUAGAAGGAGUAAUCAGUAGUCACUAAUCAGAUGAGUAUUCUGACCAACACUGAUACUACAUGAAAGAGCAACAUGUCUCUUAUAUACACCCAGAAUUAAAAUAUAGGCUAUGUGACUAUUUGAAUUGGGUGAUACUUUGUUUUAAGCAGAGUUAAGUAUGUGUGACAAUUUGCCCCAAACCCCCCAGGUGUUUUGCAAUAUUUAGUAAAAAAUGUAUGUUAUAUGUUCAAAUUUGCAUUAUGUGACUAUAAAAAAUGCUUUUCAGGAGAUAUCUCAGGCAAACAAAGACAAAAUUAGUUCAUUAUCAGAACAGAAGUGCAGGCCCUAGUUUUGAAAAAUAAAAAACAAAACAAAAACAAAACUGCAGUGUGUCAACUUAAUCAGUGUGACAACAUGUCCUGGUCUCUCCCUAAAUCCAAAUGAUCAAAAAGUUGACUCAUCUAAAGUGUGGCACCAGACCUAUCUUGUUGAAAUUAAUAAUUGCUGGACACACACAUAAUCACAACUAUUAAAAUCAGAUUCUAGACUGAGGUUUCUGAAAGGCGCAGUUGAAGCUAAAGGUGAUGGACCCAAGAACAACCGUCAGCAAAAACCUAGAAGGACAUUCAGGGUUUGUCGAGAACAGGUGUAAUGUGCUGAUUGCCCUUGAGUCACAAUGUUUGGAGAUCUCUGACUGUGUCUUCAGAAGUGGAGAGCAUGAGGACAUUUAUUAAUAUUCAAUGACAAAAACAACAACUACCAAACAUGUGCUACAGUGUCCCUUUUGGAGCCAGGACUCCCCCGAAUAUGACAUUACAAAUCUCAGCAGGAUUUUAUAGAAAAAUAUAUAUAUUCAACAACAUUGUCUUGCGGGGUCUAAUGUUUCAGUGAUGAGACAGACGAGCCUUUGACCAGACUCCUGGCUCACAAACUGAACUACAGGAUGAGAGGACCUGUCCCGUAAUGGAGAGUGUCCAUGGAUACGACCUGACUCCAAAUCCCAGGUAACUGUGGAAUAUAAAGACAACAUGGGGGCAAUGGAGUCACAGUUCAUGCAGUUAUCUCAGUGCAACACAGUCGUAACAUUACACUAGAGGAGAUCAGGCACCAGAUUAUGGAGAAGGUGGAGAAAGUUGUUAUUCCUGACAAAUAUCUGUCAGGUAUAACAACAGUAACUUUAUGGUACUGAAAACAGACUGAUACAGACCUUACAGGACGUAACAUUUUUGUGAACACCUAUGGAAGCUGAGGUGGGAGGAGGAGCUUUCUCUGGAAAAAAUAUUCAAAAGUUCAAGGGCGGCCUAAUCUUUGGUGAAAGCUGGACUCUGCAGAUGGGCUCUUGUCCAGACAUAUGCCACUGGUGUCAGCCACCCACUUCCCAUCUCUGUGUUUCCCUACAGCACGUCAUCUAGAGAUGAGGAUGGACUGCUGCAAAUUGUACAGAAGAACUUCUUGGAAUCAUUGUAAAGUAACUGGGUCUAAGUAGAGCCCCCAUUUACCAGUCCACGGCCUGUUAUGGUCAUCUUGGCAGAGAAGUAUUUCCCUGGGAGCAGCAUAAAGCUUUGGUUUUCUAAAAGAUGAACAAAACUCACACAACAUAAAAGCACAAAUAUAAAGGAAGCCAAAUCAGUAUCAACCUUUAAUUAAACCUUGUUACAGUUUGGCAUAUGCUUUACAUAACUAACUUUGUGCGGGAGCGUGUUAUUUUGUGUAAGAAAAUGAUUUGUAAUCAUGACAAUAAAGAAACUUUGAACGAGCUUGAUGCCACGAUUAUGUCAUAUAAAUGUUAAAUCAUUGAGACAUCUGGGACAAAGGUUGUGCUUGAACUAGUGACUCCGUAAAUGCAGUAAAAAAACAAAAACAAAUCUACUAUAAAUACAAAAAAACAGAAGGAACGGCAAUAAGUUAUUGUAUAAAGACACAUCACCAUGCCACUGCCAUUUUACCCGGAGUACUGUAUAUUAAGUGUCUGUGUACAGAAUUAGUUUAUGUUUACCCAACAAAAAUAUUGUGAUAUGCAUAGAGGUAUAAAAAAACAGACUCAACUCAUUGUUUAAUAGUUGCUGUCGUCACCUAAAGAUGGUGCUGUUUUACAUAUAUGUGUGGUAUAUCAGCAUCUGAAGAAAAGUCAGGAUUGCUUGCUUUGAUUUACAGGAGU